rnacentral:rRNA from 1 species
GACAGAGGGUGCAAACGUUGUUCGGAAUUACUGGGCGUAAAGCGCGUGUAGGCGGCUCUGCAAGUCGGGUGUGAAAGGCCUGGGCUCAACCCGGGAAUUGCGCUUGAGACUGGGCUGGCUUGAGUGCGGGAGAGGAUGGUGGAAUUCCCAGUGUAGAGGUGAAAUUCGUAGAUAUUGGGAAGAACACCGGUGGCGAAGGCGGCCAUCUGGACCGCAACUGACGCUGAGGCGCGAAAGCGUGGGGAGCGAACAGG